GGGAGGAGGGCCUCGGUGCUGGAAAGGGGUAUGGAUUCUGUUGUCUUGGCAACAUUCUUCUUCAUAUCGGCACUGGGUCACUCAGCUCA
rnacentral:miRNA from 1 species